rnacentral:lncRNA from 1 species
ACCACCACCCCCCACCCCGGGGCCCUCUCCUUUCCUUCAGUCAAUCUGAGCAAAGAGGAACCCGCGCAAAUUGAGAGAGGGAGCGGGGGUGAGGGCGGAGGGGACACGGGCACUGCACACCGGAGCCGGGCCGGCCCUUCCGCACCUCCUCACCCUCCCCGGAGCCGAGAGGAGCGGGCGGGACUCACCGCACAGCAUGAAGAGCAGCACGCAGGCCAGGGUGGCCACGAUCACCAGCAAGCAGAACAUGCUGUUCAGCAACCACUCAAAGCUAACAUGGAUGGCAGAGGUCUGCUGUGCUCAGUGCCUGGGAUCCAACUAAAUACAUGGCAUCACCCUCCAUACAAAACAGAUAAAGAAAAGCAAGAAAAGAGUGUUUUGUAUUACCAUGUUCUUAGGUCUGGAUUUGGCUUGACAUGAUAACUCCCACCUGUUUGGACUAAAAAGAAAUUGAAAUAAAAAUUGUGAGGCUGAAGCUUUCCA